AUGGGACGGAGAUCUACAUCAUCCACCAACAGUGGAAAAUUUAUGAACCCCACAGACCAAGUCCGAAAGGAAUCCCAGAAGAGAGAAUUAAAGAACAAAAAACAGCGCAUGACGGUUCGAGCUGCAGUGUUUGUUGUUGUUGUUGUUUUGGUUUGGUUUUGGUAUUUUUGAGGUGGAGUUUCGCUCUUGUCGCCCAGGCUGGAGCGCAGUGGCGCGAUCUCGGCUCACUGCAACCCCCAUCUCCAGCAAUUCUCCUGCCUCAGCCUCCCAAGUAGCUGGGAUUACAGGCGCGUGCCACCACACCUGGCUAAUUUUUGUAUUUUUAGUAGAGAUGAGGUUUCACCAUGUUGGCCAGACUGGUCUCGAACUCCUGACCUCAGGUGAUCUACCUGCCUCGGCCUCCCAAAGUGCUGGGAUUACAGGCGUGAGCCACUGCGCCCGGCCAGAGCUGCGUUUUUAAAAAUGAAGGAUCCCAAACAGAUUACCCGGGACAUGGAGAAACUGGAUGAAAUGGAGUUUAACCCACUGCAACAGCCACAAUUAAAUGAGAAAGUACUGAAAAACAGGCGUAAAAAACUGCGUGAAACCUUUGAACAUAUUCUAUGACUAUGAAAAAGAAAAUCCAGAUAUUUACAAGGACUUGAAAAACUAGAAGUAGAGUAUGAACAGAAGAGGGCUCAACUUAGGCAAUAUUUUGAUGCUGUCGAGAAUGCUCAGCAAGCGGAAGUGGAGAGCAUUCUUUUGCCAGAUGUGCCGCGUGCUCCUUCCAACAUUUUGAUCCAGGACAUUCCACUUCCUGGUCCCAGCCACUCUCCAUCCUUAGGAAAACCUCAGCCUAUGGACCUCCAACUCGGGCAGUUUCUAUCCUUCCUCUUCUUGGGCAUAAUGUUCCACGUUUGCCCCCUGGCAGAAAAUCUCCUGGCUCUUCCCCGGCCCACCUCCUCCUCAAGUCUUGCACAUGUAUGGCCGUAAAGUGGGUUUUGCCCUAGAUCUUCCCCUUCGUGGGCGAGAUGAAGAAGACAUGUUAUAUAAUCCUGAACUUGCCCGGCAAGGUCACGGUGAUGAUGUUUCUAGCGCCAGUGAAGAUGAUGGCCCUUCUGAGGACAAGGACCAACAUAAGCAUGGUAACAAUACUGAUGAUGGUGACACCAACAGAUCAGAUGGAGAAAGUGGGAGGAUGAAUUGUGUACCGUGAUGAUGGUGAGAGAGACAGCAAUGAAGAAAACAACUCAGGUCUGAGUGUACGGUUUGCAGAGAUGCCUGGAAAAUCAAGGAAGAAAAAGAACAUGAAGGAGUUAAGUCCUCUUCAAGCCAUGAUGCUUCCAUGGCAGGUCAAGAAGUCCCUGAGGAGGGAACAGAAGUAGAGGAAUUUUCAGAGGACGAUGAUGAAGAUGAUUCUGAUGACUCUGAAGCAGAAAAACAAUCACAAAAACAGCAUAAAGAAGAGUCUCAUUCUGAUGACACAUCCACUGCUUCUUCACAGACAGGCGUCUGCCACCCAGCUAAUUUUUGUAUUUUUAGUAGAGACAGGGUUUCACCAUGUUGGCCAGGCUGGUUUCGAACUCUUGACCUCAAGUGAUCCUCCUGCCUCGGCCUCCCAAAGUGCUGGGAUUAUAGGCAUGAGCCACUGCGCCUGUUCCUGCAUUUACCUUUGAAUCAGCAAUCCCUCUUCUAGGAAUUCACCCUGAAGAUACACUUCCAACAGUAAGAAAAUCCAUUUGCACAAGGUUUAUUAUUGAAGCAUUGUUUGCAAUUGCAGAAUAAUUUAUACAUCUUAAAUGCCACACACGUGUUCCUCUUUCUCAGAUACAAGCACGUCCCAUCCCAGGACCACCAUCUCUUGGACCACCACCUGCUCCACCAUUAUGGCCUCUUGGGCCAGCUAUGGGCCUUCCUCUUGGCCCACCUCCAGGAGCUCCUCCAUUCCUGAGAUCACCUGGAAUGCCAGGAUUCUGAGGGCCUUUACCCCGACUUUUUACCUCCAGGACCAACACCAGCCUGACCUGGCCCUCCCCCAGGUCCACCUCCAGGUCUGCCUCCUGGUCCCCCUCCUAGGGGACCCCCACCAAAAGUACCUCCCCCUGCACCUCUGGGUGUUCCUCCACCUCAUCCUGGCAUGAUGCGCCCACCAUUGGUACCUCCACUUGGACCUGCCCCCGCUGGGCUUUUCCUACCAGCUCCCUGGCCGAACCCUGGGGUUUUCAAUGCACCGCCCAACUUGAUUCAGUGGCCCAAGGCAGAUGAUAUGAUUGCAGCCACCAUUGAGAAGAAAGCCACAGCAACCAUCAGUGCCAAGCCACAGAUCACUAAUCCCAAGGCAGAGAUUACUUGAUUUUUGCCCACUGCACUCACAGUACAUCAGGAGAAUAAAGGGGCUACUGCUGCUCUCCAAAGAAAGUCAGAGGGGCUGGGCACUGUGGCUCACACCUGUAAUCCCAGCACUUUAGGAGGCCAAGGUGGGGAGAUCACCUGAGGUCAGGACUUUGAGACCAGCCUAGCCAACAUGGCGAAACCCCCCAUCUCUACUAAAAAUACAAAAAUUAGCCAGGCAUGUACACCUAUAGUCCCAGCUACUCAGUAGGCUGAGGGAGGAGAAUGGCUUGAACCCAGAAGGUGGAGGUUGCAGUGAGCUGAGAUCGCACCACUGCACUCCAGCCUGGGUGACAGAGCGAGACUUUGUCUCAAAAAAAAGAAAAGAAAGUCAGAGGAUGAUUCUGCUGUGCCUCUUGCCAAAGCAGCACCCAAAUCUGGUCCUUCUGUUCCUGUCUCAGUACAAAGUAAGGAUGAUGUCUAUGAGGCUUUCAUGAAAGAGAUGGAAGGGCUGC
rnacentral:lncRNA from 1 species